GGGCUAUAUUCAUCUGUUUCCCAGCAAGAAAACCAGAAAGCCAAAGAUAAACAGAAGUCAAUCAAAGCAGAAAGUGACAUCUAGAAAAAAAUGCCUAAUUCUGCCAGACCUGUUUUGCUGAAUAAAGAUAAGAGCCCCGUGGACAACAUGGCUUAGGUAUAAGAAAUUAAACGAUGGCAGCAUUCCCAAAAGCAACCAAAGCAGUUGACAUCGGGCUUGUUCCCAACAGCCUGGAAGGGACUGAGAAUGGAAGAACAAUCGACAAUUAAGAAACCGUUUCUACGGACUCUGAAUUUUGCAAGACUAAUUAGGAAAAUAAGCCUUGUUUCAGAGUUUCAGCAUUUGAAAGUAUUACUGCACUUUACCUCCUUCUCUGAAAGGGUGGGGCGUGUUUCAUGGUUUAAGGGAUGGUGCUACCAUCAGAAUCUGGCCAGGCUGUUUUCUGUGGCGUCUGUGCAUAAAGAUGAUGUCCACCCAAUUGCCAGUGACUCCUCGCAUGAAAUCUGCCAUCAGUACUAUUAACAUAAACAGCAUCUGGCAAAAUACACGGCCUUCAACCCACAGCAAAACCUGCACGGUACUCUCACGAAGGAAAAAGGCCAGGUCUGGCUUCCAUUUGACUUCCAGAGAAUAUGCAAUGAAUUAUUUUUUCUCACCGUCACCAGCUGAGUCUCAGUGAAAUCCGUGCUUGUAAUUAUUGCUGUAAUUAUUAUUUUAAUACAAAUCAGCAACUUAUCAAAAUAUUACGUGUCAGGUGCUACCUCUUUGCUCCAAGACUAUGGUUGGAAGUUGGAGGCCGUCACUCCAGCUUCGCUCUGUGCACACAGAGGAUGGGAAUCACGGUGAGGUCUCUUCUACCACAGCCAGACUUCCAGCUUCACAGAUGCCCACGUCCACAGCCAGUUUCACACUCGACCUUCUUCUACAGGCAAUAAGUCACUCUGUGCAUUUUACGUGGUGGUUUGACCUUCGGCAAUUCAAUUCACUCACUGCAGGGUCUCAGUGGUUCCAUCUUUGCAGGGGGCAAACAGUACAAACCUUUUUUUUUUUUUCUUGAGAUAGGCUCUUGCUCAGUCACCCAGGCUGGACUCCAACCACGGCUCACUGUAGCCUCAACCUCCCAGGGUCAAGUGAUCCUCCCACCUUAGCCUCCCAAGUAGCUGGAACUACAGGCAUACUACCAUGCCCAGCUGAUUGACUGUUUUAUGUUUUUGUAGAGACGAGGUCUCACUAUGUUGCCCAGACUGGUCUUGAACUCCUGGGCUCCAGCAAUCCCCCAACUCCUAGGUCUCCCAAAGUGCUGGUGUGUGCCACCAUGCCCAGUAACAGUGCCAGCUUUCUGGCAGUGCCCUUCUGAAGAAAACCUAGUGAGAGUUGUUUGGUUACAUCUUUCUGUGCGGCACACACAUGGCAUUUGACACGCAGGCUCCUGAGUCACGCUGGCUGAGCUGAAAUUCCAAGUCUGCUCUGUGACUGUGAGUGAUUUCUUACCCUCUCUAUGCCUCAAUUUCCUCAUCUGUACAUGGGAAUACUAUCAGCAGCCACAUCAUGAGGCUGAUAGAAUGAUUAAAAUGAUAAUCUAGGAGACGCUGCUUAGUACAGCACAGCACCUGCCAUAUAGUGACAUCCAAUAGAUAAUAGCGAUUAUUAUUAUUAUCAUUCUGAGAGUUGCAAACUCAAAUCCCAACAGCCAUCUUGUAGGUAACACAGAUAAGCAAAGUGACCUGGUGGGCCGGUGUAGAGGGGGCAGCCACAUCCCCCCUCACUCAAAUGGUUACCUCUGGGAAUGAAAACCAGAAUUUCAAAUUUCUUAAUAGGCACUCUAAAUUUGAUGUGGAUUGGAAAUCAUUGAUUUUGGCUACCAAUUUAAGUUUUGAUUUUAAAAUUUACCUUUUCUUUAAUUAAGAAAGAAGGAGGAAGAGGACCCCAUGCUGUCAUUAUUCCAUCUGGAGCCCAGACCUGACUCACAAAGCUCUAGGUUUCCUUCUGGCUUACGCAUUCCCCAUCGCUGCUUUCUAGCACCCACUUUCGUUGGAGGGCUGUAUCCGCCUGCUCACUCCAAUAAACAGUCAGUUUCCUCGAAA
ensembl:lncRNA